rnacentral:rRNA from 1 species
GAACGCUAGCGGCAGGCUUAACACAUGCAAGUCGAGGGGUAUAGUUCUUCGGAGCUAGAGACCGGCGCACGGGUGCGUAACGCGUAUGCAAUCUACCUUUUACAGAGGGAUAGCCCAGAGAAAUUUGGAUUAAUACCUCAUAGUAUGUGAGAAUCGCAUGGUUUUCACAUUAAAGUUCCAACGGUAAAAGAUGAGCAUGCGUCCCAUUAGCUAGAUGGUAAGGUAACGGCUUACCAUGGCAACGAUGGGUAGGGGUCCUGAGAGGGAGAUCCCCCACACUGGUACUGAGACACGGACCAGACUCCUACGGGAGGCAGCAGUGAGGAAUAUUGGACAAUGGGCGCAAGCCUGAUCCAGCCAUGCCGCGUGCAGGAUGACGGUCCUAUGGAUUGUAAACUGCUUUUGUACAGGAAGAAACACUCCCUCGUGAGGGAGCUUGACGGUACUGUAAGAAUAAGGAUCGGCUAACUCCGUG